AUUGAACGCUGGCGGCAGGCCUAACACAUGCAAGUCGAGCGAGCGGCGGACGGGUGAGUAAUGUAUGGGGAUCUGCCUGAUGGCGGGGGAUAACUACUGGAAACGGUAGCUAAUACCGCAUACCUUCAGAUGAACCUAUAUGGGAUUAGCUUGUAGGUGAGGUAACGGCUCACCUGGGCGAAGAGCCCUAGCUGGUCUGAAAGGAUGAUCAGUAACACUGGAACUGAGACACGGUCCAGACUCCUGCGUGAGGCGGAAGUGGGGAAUAGUGAACAAUGGGCGAAAGCCGGAUUCAGCAAUGCGGCGUGUAUGAAGAAGGCCUUCGGGUUGUAAAGUACUUGCAGUCGGGAGGCGGUACCGACAGAAGAAGCACCGGCUAACGCCGUGCCAGCAGCCGCGGUAAUUC
rnacentral:rRNA from 1 species